rnacentral:rRNA from 1 species
CGGUUCGCUGCCGAAACGUCGCGAGAAGUCCACUGAACCUUAUCAUUUAGAGGAAGGAGAAGUCGUAACAAGGUUUCCGUAGGUGAACCUGCGGAAGGAUCAUUGUCGAAUUCGAACGGGAGAACGACCAGCGAACCGUCUUUGCGCGAGGAACCGAGGUCGCGUGCACCAAAUGUGGCGCGUCUUGCAAUGCGUCCGCGCGGGCCUUCUCGAAAGGGCCGUGCCGUGCCGUAAACAAACAACGUCAGCACGGAUCGUGCCAAGUAGCUGCAUUGGCGAUAAUCGUCGUCCUCCCUCCCAAUCUAUGUGGGGCGGGGGGACAUGCGCGAUCUCCGCUCUCAGUCUUAAUGACUCUCGGCAACGGAUAUCUCGGCUCUUGCAUCGAUGAAGAACGCAGCGAAAUGCGGUACUUGGUGUGAAUUGCAGAAUCCCGCGAACCAUCAACUCUUUGAACGCAAGUUGCGCCCGAAGCCAUACGGCAGAGGGCACGCCUGCCUGGGUGUCGUUAAUCCCCUUGCCGCCGGCACCCGCACGAGCAUCGUCGCGGAUAUGUCCGGGCGCAGAGUAUGGUCUCCCGUCGGGUAGGCGUGCGUGCCACGUCUUCUGGCGGUUGGCCGAAAAUCGAGCAUUGCGACGUCCGGCUCCACGGCCUUCGGUGGAUCGAACGCGAUUGGCUGCGCCGUGGUCCAGUCCUGCCGUCGGCUCCGGACUUUUUAUCGAUUCCCCUGUGCGAUCCCAGGUCAUGUGGGGCUACCCGCUGAGUUUAAGCAUAUCAAUAAGC